UGAGGUGCAGCUCAGUGGUAGAGUGCUUGCCUAGCAGGCACGAGUCCUGGGUUCCAUCCCCAACACUGCAA
rnacentral:tRNA from 1 species